rnacentral:lncRNA from 1 species
GGGGUGGGUGGGGGAGCGGUUCAAGGUGGCUUCCUAGCCAGUAAUCCUUUCAAAUCUCCAGGGUGCUUGCAACCAUCUUCACCUCUUCCCAGGGGAAAGAUUCUGCCCCGGGAGUAAGAAGCUCUAGAAUUCUGCCUUGGGGAGAGAGGCUGAUGGGAUUGUCAAACUGGGGCCCUGGAAUCAGUGCUGUCGGGCUGGGGACCAGUGUCUCUGGCCUGUAAAACCUUCUCCCAAAACCUUCUGGGAGGCUUUGAGGGUCUCAGAGGAACCUGGCAGGAAGGUCAGAACUCAAACACUCCCACAUUCCUGGGCCCUCCACUGGAAAUGGGGUCAACGCUUAGCUGGUCACAACUUACCAGGAAUCUGUGAGGAUUCUCUCCUUGCCAUGGGGAUGAGGACAAAUUCUCCCUUCAUCCUUGAGAUUGGACUCCCGCCACACAUCCUGGAGGAGCCUACAGAGAAGCCGGCAGGUCUCCCUCACCUGGAUGGUGCCAGCGGGUGGCCUGGACCACCCAGAGGCCCUCUCCUGCACCUGACAGGAAGCCCCUGGGGCAUACGUCUCCCCUGCCACUUCCACUGUGGCCACUGGAAGUGUGGCAGAGAAAAUAGCUAGGACAAAAAGAAGUCAAUGAUUUCAACCAACGGAAUUUCUUUGUCCUUUGUAAAAAUCAACACAUGAUCUGUUACUGAUUGGGAUGUGAAAUAAAACUAAAAAUAACAGCACACUGAGCCUGGCUCAGGGCUCAGCUCACCUUUACCACGGUCCAAGUUCAGUUUAUCAGAUCCCAAGGAGCAGCUAAGCAGCA